CCUACGGGUGGCAGCAGUGGGGGAUAUUGCACAAUGGGGGAAACCCUGAUGCAGCGAAGCCGCGUGGGUGAAGAAGCGCCUCGGCGCGUAAAGCCCUGUCAGCAGGGAAGAUAAUGACGGUACUUGAGGAGGAAGCCCCGGCUAACUACGUGCAAGCAGCCGCGGUAAUACGUAGGGGGCUAGCGUUAUCCGGAAUUACUGGGCGUAAAGGGUGCGUAGGUGGAUUCUUAAGUCAGAGGUGAAAGGCUACGGCUCAACCGUAGUAAGCCUUUGAAACUGGGGAACUUGAGUGCAGGAGAGGAGAGUGGAAUGCGUAGUGUAGCGGUGAAAUGCGUAGAUAUUAGGAGGAACACCAGUUGCGAAGGCGGCUCUCUGGACUGUAACUGACACUGAGGCACGAAAGUGUGGGUAGCAAACAGGAUUAGAUACCCCGGUAGUC
rnacentral:rRNA from 1 species